AAAAACGCUACCGUGAAAAUUUACCUAGAAAUUCUACCGAGCGGCAUAAGAACUUACCAAUUGUUAAAGCCCGACCGGCUGUUUUCCUCUUGCACCGAAAGCCGGAAAGAAGUACUCGCGGAGGAAUUUUUGACGGUUUGACGGUAAACGCGGGUUUCUAAAAUAACUAGCAAAAGCUUACGUAAAAUGAUUCAAUUAGUAACAAUAGGCACAAUACAUGAUAAUCCACGGGUACUAGGGUGGCACUUAAAAAUCGAUUUUUGAUUUUUAAUGCGUGCGGGUGGUUUAACGGUUCCAUUCCCGU